AUUGAACGCUGGCGGCAGGCCUAACACAUGCAAGUCGAGCGGAUGAAGGGAGCUUGCUCCUGGAUUCAGCGGCGGACGGGUGAGUAAUGCCUAGGAAUCUGCCUGGUAGUGGGGGAUAACGUCCGGAAACGGGCGCUAAUACCGCAUACGUCCUGAGGGAGAAAGUGGGGGAUCUUCGGACCUCACGCUAUCAGAUGAGCCUAGGUCGGAUUAGCUAGUUGGUGGGGUAAAGGCCUACCAAGGCGACGAUCCGUAACUGGUCUGAGAGGAUGAUCAGUCACACUGGAACUGAGACACGGUCCAUACUCCUACGGGAGGCAGCAGUGGGGAAUAUUGGACAAUGGGCGAAAACCUGAUCCAGCCAUGCCGCGUGUGUGAAGAAGGUCUUCGGAUUGUAAAGCACUUUAAGUUGGGAGGAAGGGCAGUAAGUUAAUACCUUGCUGUUUUGACGUUACCAACAGAAUAAGCACCGGCUAACUUCGUG
rnacentral:rRNA from 1 species